rnacentral:tRNA from 10 species
GGGGUUAUAGCUCAGCUGGGAGAGCGCUUGCAUGGCAUGCAAGAGGUCGACGGUUCGAUCCCGUCUAGCUCCACCA